UUCGUAAAGUAAAUGGACUGACCCAAAAGGAUAUUGCAGAGAGGCUUGGCGUAACACAGCAAACCUAUGCGCGAUUGGAGGCGAACCCAGGUAGCGCCAGUAUUGAGCGGUUGUUCAAAGUGUUUACUGUGUUGGGCGUUGAAAUAGAACUUUCUUCUUCAUUGGCUUCAUCAGCCAUAAAUUCAUAUAAGUUAACUGAUAAAUAUAGAGAUUCUCUAGCCAGACGAGAAAAGUGGUGAUGAUGUCUAUGUGAUAGUCUAUGGUGAAAACCUUAGAACAUGUCGAUAAAAUUCAUUUUUUUAAACGUGUUGCCGGAAUAUGCUUAUGGCAUCGACACGUUCUUACUAUGUGUCGAUGAAAUUCGCUUUUUUAAACAUGUCUUCUGGAUAUGUUUACCGCAUCGACACAUUCCAGCCAUAUGUCGAUAAAGCCUUAUUUUUUAAACAUGUUGCCGGGAUAUGCUUAUGGCAUCGACACUUUCUGGCUAUGUGUCGAUAGAAUUCGCUUUUUUAAACAUAUUGUCGAGAUAUGC
rnacentral:rRNA from 1 species